AUUGCGAAAACGAGAAGCGGUGGAGUUCCAGGAACCGGCAGCGGGUGAGCGUGGUUGUGUUUAGCCUUCGUGGCGCCGCUGGCCAUGGGCUGAGCUUGACGGGCUCCGGGAUUUCCGCGUGGCAGGCCGGGCAUAAAGCGGCCGCAGUGACGGUGUUGGAGGAGGCCUGGCUCCGAGGAUGGAGAGAGCCAUGGAGCAGCUGAACCGUCUCACCAGGUCCCUCCGUCGUGCCCGCACCAUCGAGCUGCCGGAGGAUAGUGAAACUGCUGUUUACACGUUAAUGCCAAUGGUUAUGGCUGAUCAACACAGAUCUGUUUCAGAGUUGCUUUCAAAUUCAAAAUUUGAUGUCAAUUAUGCAUUUGGACGUGUGAAGAGGAGCUUGCUUCAUAUUGCAGCUAACUGUGGAUCAGUUGAAUGUCUAAUCCUGUUGCUAAAAAAAGGUGCAAAUCCCAAUUACCAGGAUAUUUCUGGGUGCACUCCACUUCAUUUAGCUGCUCGGAAUGGCCAGAAAAAGUGUAUGAGCAAGCUACUGGAGUAUAGUGCUGAUGUCAACAUUUGCAACAAUGAAGGUCUGACAGCAAUCCAUUGGCUUGCUGUUAAUGGACGAACAGAACUGCUUCAUGACCUUGUACAGCAUGUUUCCAAUGUAGAUGUUGAAGAUGCAAUGGGGCAGACAGCACUUCACGUGGCUUGUCAAAAUGGCCAUAAGACGACUGUUCAGUGUCUUUUAGAUAGCGGUGCAGAUAUUAACAGGCCCAAUGUGUCAGGAGCAACUUCCCUCUACUUUGCUUGCAGCCAUGGUCAAAGAGACACUGCACAGAUUCUCCUGAUGAGAGGAGCCAAAUACUUGCCAGACAAAAAUGGAGUCACCCCACUUGAUCUUUGUGUACAGGGAGGUUAUGGAGAGACCUGUGAAGUUCUAAUACAACAUCAUCCUAGACUUUUUCAAACAAUUAUUCAAAUGACACAAAAUGAAGAUCUUAGAGAAAACAUGUUGCGCCAAGUCCUAGAACACUUAUCUCAGCAGAAUGAAAACCAGUAUCUUAAAAUCUUAACGAGUCUUGCUGAAGUAGCUACUACGAAUGGCCAUAAAUUGCUUAGUUUGUCAAGUAAUUAUGAGGCACAAAUGAAGAGUCUAUUGAGGAUAGUGAGGAUUUUUUGCCAUGUCUUUCGUCUUGGUCCAUCCACUUCCAAUAAUGGAAAUGAUAUGGGCUACAAUGGAAAUAAAACUCCAAGAAGUCAAGUGUUCAAGCCUUUGGAAUUACUUUGGCACUCAUUAGACGAAUGGCUAGCCCUAAUAUCUGCAGAAUUAAUGAAGGACAAAGCCAACAUCUCUUCUAUCUUGCUGAAGCCAAAAGGACCCAGUCAGCAAGAAGAUAGCAUUCCUACACCGACUUUUGAAGUAGCUUCAAGUGAGACGAAUGCACUUUCUGUGGAAACAGAGGGAUCUAAAAUGUAUGAAGUUGGCAGUGCCCAGGAAGCUUACGUGGACUGCCAAGAUGUUAUUUCUGUGACAGCAAACCGGCUGAGUGCUGUCAUUCAAGCAUUUUAUAUGUGUUGCUCUUGUCAGAUGCCUCAAGGAAUGACAUCUCCUCGCUUCAUAGAGUUUGUCUGCAAACACGACAAUGUUCUUAAAUGCUUUGUAAACCGGUAUGUCACCAGAAAUACACAUGCUUCAAAUCCUGAAAUUAUAUUUGAUCACUUCCAUUUCCUUCUUGAGUGUCCUGAACUUAUGUCCAGAUUUAUGCAUAUCAUAAAAGCACAGCCGUUUAAAGAUCGCUGUGAAUGGUUUUAUGAACACUUGCAUUCUGGACAACCGGAUUCUGACAUGGUUCAUAGGCCUGUAAGUGAAAGUGACAUUCUAUUGGUUCAUAGAGAUUCUAUUUUUAGGAGCAGCUGUGAAGUUGUAUCUAAAGCAAAUUGUGUAAAGUUGAAGCAAGGAAUUGCUGUACGUUUCCAUGGUGAAGAAGGCAUGGGUCAAGGUGUGGUACGUGAAUGGUUUGAUAUCCUUUCCAAUGAGAUUGUUAACCCAGAUUAUGCCCUUUUUACUCAAUCAGCUGAUGGAACAACUUUCCAGCCCAAUAGCAACUCUUCUGUGAAUCCUGAUCACUUGAACUAUUUUAGAUUUGCUGGACAAAUCUUGGGUUUAGCUCUUAAUCACAGACAACUAGUCAACAUUUACUUCACAAGAUCAUUUUACAAGCAUAUUCUUGGUAUUCCUGUAAACUAUCAGGAUGUGGCAUCUAUUGAUCCAGAGUAUGCAAAGAACUUGCAGUGGAUUCUAGACAAUGAUAUCAAUGAUUUGGGGCUAGAGCUGACCUUCUCGGUGGAAACGGAUGUAUUUGGAGCAAUGGAAGAAGUGCCUUUGAAGCUGGGUGGUGCAAGCAUAAUUGUCACACAGGAGAACAAAGCUGAAUAUGUCCAGCUUGUUACUGAGCUUCGAAUGACGAGAGCCAUUCAGCCUCAGAUAAAUGCUUUUCUUCAAGGUUUCCAUAUGUUCAUUCCUCCUUCUUUGGUACAACUCUUUGAUGAAUAUGAAUUGGAAUUGUUGCUUUCAGGCAUGCCAGAAAUUGAUGUAAAUGACUGGAUUAAAAAUACAGAAUAUACAAGUGGCUAUGAAAGAGAUGACCCAGUUAUUCAGUGGUUUUGGGAAGUUGUAAAAGAACUGACUCAAGAAGAACGGGUGCUGCUAUUGCAGUUCGUCACUGGCAGUUCUAGAGUACCCCAUGGUGGCUUUGCCCAUAUAAUGGGUGGUAGUGGAUUGCAAAAUUUCACAAUUGCUGCUGUGCCAUAUACGCCAAAUCUGCUACCCACAUCAAGUACAUGAUAACAUUGGAAUACUAAAGGGGACUGCAAUGCAGUGCAUUUGUUCUUUUAUACUUUACUUCAGACAAUAUCAAUAUGCUGAAGUUGCCUGAAUAUCCUAAAAAAGAAAUCCUUAAGGACAGACUUCUUGUGGCAUUACAUUGUGGAAGCUAUGGGUAUACAAUGGCAUAAUGAAGCAGGACAACAUUUCUGAUUGCUGAUGUGCAAUUCCUCGUGGCAAAAAUAAUUUAGCAAUCUGUCAACAGGAGGGAGAUGGUGGUAGUUAGGAAGAAGUCUUGGUUUUCAGUUGAUAGGUAGCAUCGAUUUUUACAAGUUGCAAAAGAUACAGGGCAUCUCUUUCCUCUAUGCCGUUAAGCAUUUUUACGGAAAUUCUGAAACUCAGUUUUUAAAUGCUAUUUCUCCAUUAAACACAGCAUAUAUCCCAGUCCAUCUCUGUUUUUUAUUGGAACACUCUGAAGCUGUUCUAGUUGUAACAGAUGUGAAAUGUGUUUGCCUUUCCACCCUAACUUUGCCAUUAGUAAGGGUUGCAGUCAAGUAUUAUGAUACUAGCUAAUUGUGUUAUAUAGGCAGAGAGAUGCUAUUCUCCUCCAUGAUUAGUGUGAGAUCUGAAAAUCACUGUCUUUAACUUCCAAGGGCUUGUUCAUUCCUGUAAGAUGACAUAAAUUCCUAGCAUGUUAGAAAUAUUGUAUACUUUUUACCCAUGUAUUUUCUUGCAUGCAAAAAAGUGACAUAUAUUUAUUUAUUUUUUCUUCAGGGGACAUUGAACAAAAUUAGAGAACAAAAUAGCAAAUGUGAUUUAUUUUUUUCUGCUAAGUUUAAAUACUUUUUUAUUUUUCUAGUUAUUUAAUAUCUAAACAUCUAAAAAGCUUAUUGGCAAAAAUUAAAUUUCUGGAAAUAAAAAAAAUCUGUAUUGUACAUUUCAAAUGCACAACAUAGUCAUAACUGAACUAUCAGCAAUUUCAUGACCUUUGAAAACAUGUAUAUUUAUUUUAAAGGAAUAUUUCCCUUUAUUGGGUAAGGAGUCAUUUUCUGAUGCCUGAACUUUGAAAAAAUAUUCAUUAAAAUGAAAUAUUUUAUUUGUAAAAUA